rnacentral:lncRNA from 1 species
UGGCGACCGAUGCGUCCCGCGCUCUAGGCGAAGACCGCGGCCCCGUCCCCGCGCCUCCACCGCCUUCUUCCAGGAGGAGGGGCCGUGCGGCGCCUGCCCGGGGGCCCUCAGGCCGCAGGCGGGCGCGAGCUUCAGGGAACUUAGGGGGCUCCCGCCUCCCCGGCCACGCGAGCGGGAACAGUCUCCUCCACUCGGAGCGGCGCCAUCUUCAGCUCUGAGUCACCAGGGCUGGAAAAAUACUAGAUGCGCUACUCGUGGACUCGUGAAUACACUCGUGAAUACAGGCCAUUUCCUGUACCUACAGCCACCCGCUCCACUCAUCAUGCCUUACCUGGAUGAUGCAGAAGUCCCUGGAAACAGAAGGUCUCACCCUUCUUUAUCUUUCUCAUGGCUUUCCAAGGCUCUUUAUCAUGUUACUUUCCUGCUCAGAAUUCUUUAAUGACUUGCCUCAAUGACCAGAUACAUGUGAUCUACAGUCAGCCUUCCAGCCUCAUCAUUCCUCUUCCAUUUCCUCCCCAGAAACACUGUACUUUAUGAAGCUCCUCCAAGACGAAAAAUAAAUUCAAAUAUGGAAUAAAAAGCCCAAACUCAUGAAACUGGACUGACUUUGCUUCUUAAAAAUUCAACAUGCUGCAGCUGCAUGCUUAAACCUGGUUCAAACAGGAUGAUGAAAUAAAACAUUAUUAUUGUGGGAAUAUAACACUGUCUAAAUAAAUAGCCAACAUGAAAACUGUCUCUAAAACCCAUAGCAUCUGUAUGUGCAGACUGUAAGUAAGUUAUAUAAUUCCUCCACUAUUCUGUAACAUGGCCAAUUCAGAAUGUCUUACCAUUAAUCUUGAAGACAUUUAAAGAUGUUCACUUUUCUAACUCUUCCCUUUGAAAAUAUAUUUGAACCUUAUUUGCAAUAAAAAUCUCAUAAUAUUGUAUUACUUUUUGAUGUGUCAUUUCUGUUAAAUGGUGCCUGGAAUAAAUCAGCUUUGACUUUU